UUGAUUCUUGCCUUUGAAAGCUCAGUCAGAGCAUAGUUUGUGAAGAGAAUAUUAGGGAAUGAAACUGAGUUCGUAGUCUCAGUUUCAAACGUCAGAGUGGACAGUAACGUAAUACAGUGAUAGUGAGUAGGUGGCAUCCGAACCUGGCGGGCAGUGGAGAGAGUGAGCUGGGCAGUUUUCGUAAGCACAUCCUCAUCACCCCACAGGGGGACGCCUCCACUGGUUUGGGAGAUGUAUGAAGACCAUUAGAAUCGGGUAACUCCGUGAAUCCCGAGCGUCAGGAAUCCACUACCACCCAUGGGCCCCAUAGCUGGCCAGCCUUCACCUGAUGCAUUCACUGCCCACGUGGUGACCAAGGAAUAUCAGGCCCCCCAAACAACAGCCAGCCCCCAUCAUUGGUGGAUGAGUCCAUGACUCAGUAGGGCUAAUUGGUGGUUGUGUUAUUCCACUGGAAUUAUCUGAGUUUGUUGGAUGGUGCCACGUGGUGAGGAAACUACCAUGGCUGCCGCUUGAGUAUUACUUCUGGUGCUGUUGAGUGUUAUGUCUGAUGCUGCUUAAGCAGUCAAGUGUCGUAACUGGCGUCAUUGCCACGGGUUUUAAUGGUGCUAAGGUGCUGAGAGAGAGUUUAGGUGUGUUAUUGUGUAUGUACAGUACACCCAGUCGUGGUGUAAGUAGAAAUUGGGCCUAAGGGCCUCAGUACAAAGUGAGUUCCUAUUUGCUCAUGAAACCUAACGUCAUUUAAUAACCAUUUUGUGUUUUUAAUAAACCAUUUUAUUUGUA